GACGAACGCUGGCGGCGUGCUUAACACAUGCGAGUCGAGCGGUAAGGCCUUUCGGGGUCCACGAGCGGCGAACGGGUGAGUAACACGUGGGUGAUCUGCCCUGCACUUCGGGAUAAGCCUGGGAAACUGGGUCUAAUACCGGAUAUGACCUCCUAUCGCAUGGUGGGUGGUGGAAAGAUUUAUCGGUGCAGGAUGGGCCCGCGGCCUAUCAGCUUGUUGGUGGGGUAAUGGCCUACCAAGGCGACGACGGGUAGCCGACCUGAGAGGGUGACCGGCCACACUGGGACUGAGACACGGCCCAGACUCCUACGGGAGGCAGCAGUGGGGAAUAUUGCACAAUGGGCGAAAGCCUGAUGCAGCGACGCCGCGUGAGGGAUGACGGCCUUCGGGUUGUAAACCUCUUUCAGCAGGGACGAAGCGCAAGUGACGGUACCUGCAGAAGAAGCACCGGCUAACUACGUG
rnacentral:rRNA from 1 species